UCGUAACAAGGUCUCCGUAGGUGAACCUGCGGAGGGAUCAUUACACAAUAAAAUACGAAGGCCGUUCGCGGCUGGACUAUUUAUUACCCUUGUCUUUUGCGCACUUGUUGUUUCCUGGGCGGGUUCGCUCGCCACCAGGACCACAAUAUAAACCUUUUUUAUGCAGUUGCAAUCAGCGUCAGUACAACAAAUGUAAAUCAUUUACAACUUUCAACAACGGAUCUCUUGGUUCUGGCAUCGAUGAAGAACGCAGCGAAAUGCGAUACGUAGUGUGAAUUGCAGAAUUCAGUGAAUCAUCGAAUCUUUGAACGCACAUUGCGCCCUUUGGUAUUCCAAAGGGCAUGCCUGUUCGAGCGUCAUUUGUACCCUCAAGCUUUGCUUGGUGUUGGGCGUUUUUGUCCCCCCCAAAAAGGGGACUCGCCUUAAAAGGAUUGGCAGCCGGCCUACUGGUUUCGCAGCGCAGCACAUUUUUGCGCUUGCAAUCAGCAAAAGAGGACGGCAAUCCAUCAAGACUCCUUCUCACGUUUGACCUCGGAUCAGGUAGGGAUACCCGCUGAACUUAAGCAUAUCAAUAA
rnacentral:misc_RNA from 1 species